AUUUAUUCAACAUUUCAAAGGAUAUCAAUAAAUUUAGGGAUAACACGCAAUAUAGACUGCCAAAGGACUGGGAGUAAAUUAGUAGGAAUUACUGAUAUGAAGUUUACAAGAUUGCCCAUAAGCUUCACUUGCUCAGUGACAAAAAUUGGGUGAAAAUUAUAUGAGCUUUAUGCAUCUGCUUCUAAUUAGCACAGUUGAUUAGCAGGGAAAUAAAUAUAAAAUGCUUUCACAAUUUUUGUAGGCCUGACCAAUCA
rnacentral:misc_RNA from 1 species